rnacentral:ncRNA from 1 species
AUCUUCAGGGCGGGGUGCAAGUCCCCACUGGCGGUAAAGUCCGCGAGUCGCUUUUGCGAUCGAAUCGGUGAAACUCCGGUACCAACAGUUACAGUCUGGAUGGAAGAAGAU